rnacentral:rRNA from 1 species
AUUGAACGCUGGCUGUAUGCCUAACACAUGCAAGUCGAGCGGAUGAAGGGAGCUUGCGCCUGGAUUCAGCGGCGGACGGUUGAGUAAUGCCUAGGAAUCUGCCUGGUAGUGGGGAAUAACGUCGGGAAAAGGGGCCAAAUGCCGCGUAAGUCGUGGGGGACAACGGGGGGGUUCUUGGGACCUCACGCAGAAAGCUAAGCAGAGGUGGGUGAUGAGACUACGUGGGGUUAGGUCGUUGGUGGGGUACAGGCUGACCAUGGCCACGAUGCGUAGCUGGUCUGAGAGGAUGAUUAGUCACACUGGAACUGAGACACGGUCCAGACUCCUACGGGAGGCAGCAGUGGGGAAUAGUGGACAAUGGGCGAAAGCCUGAUCCAGCCAUGCCGCGUGUGUGAAGAAGGUCUUCGGAUUGUAAAGCACUGUAAGUUGGGAGGAAGGGCAGUAAGUUAAUACCUUGCUGUUUUGACGUUACCAACAGAAUAAGCACCGGCUAACUUCGUG